GUCAAGUAAAAUUUGUAUAUUUUCAAAUAUCUGAUACUGUUACUAGUAUAAGAAUCGAAGCCUGCUUAAAAUGUCCAUUUCAAUUUGGUCUUUCAAUUAUAAAAUUAGAGUUGUCGCUGCACAAUUUAAAAGGAAAGAAAAAUUGUUUUGUCAUCCAUGUCAGUAUAGUCAAUGAUGUUUAUUAACAACCAAAUUUACAAGGUAAACAGAAACUGACUUAGACGUUGUAAACCGCAGUGGCCUCUUCUAUGUUGAAUCAGUGUACACACUUCAAACAAAAGACCAUUAAGUGUUAUAUACAUUAUUAACAAUCUUCUGUCUUUGAAAUUUAACCCUCAAAGACAAAAUUUAAUAUAUUAUUUACAAUUUUGUAUUUGAAAUUAACCAUCAAAUAGAUAAAUUAAUAAUAAAAAGUUCAGUUGUUGAAAUUCAGCAGUGCCAAUGUUUCUUGACUUGGUUAUAACAGUUAUAUUUUUUUCCACGAAAACUAAUUUGAUAAAAUGAAAUAUCAUUUAAUUAUUUCGAUACUAAUCUCGAUUUUCUUUGUUGUACAAAUAAUAACGUCGACCAUUGUUCACUGGAAGAAAUACGACUUCAUACGUCCACCACUUAUCUGCAAGCCAAGCAAGAUUCUUUUCUCAGUUAUCGUUCAUGACCAGUAUGAAUGCAACAAGAUUUUUAAUUUACGCAACGCAGCUGCAUCGUUAGCUCAUUCAAACCGGAAAAUAAUGAGUGUAUUGGAUGCAAGGAGUUUAGGAUUUGGUAUACUGUGAUGAACCAUGAAAUAAAUUAUGCCAUCAGACCAUUCAAAAGUGAAGUGAGCGACUGUAAAGAAAUUCUUGAUAAAUACCCGGAAGCAGAAAGUGGCUUUUAUGAGAUAGAACUAUGGAAGUCUGGAAAGAUACUUAUUGUGAAUUGUGACAUGGAAACUGACGGUGGCGGCUGGACGGUCUGAAGUUCAUACAAGAAUUAGCUAACCAAGAUCAUUCAGAAGUCCGCAUUGAUGUUACAAAUCUUAACAACCAAACAGGGUAUGAGACCUUUCAGGAAUUUAAGUUAACAGAUGGAACAGACUAUAAACUCAACAUUGGGUCAGGCGACG